UACGUAGGUGGCAAGCGUUGUCCGGAUUUAUUGGGUUUAAAGGGUGCGUAGGCGGUUCAUUAAGUCAGUGGUGAAAUACGGCAGCUUAACUGUCGAGGUGCCAUUGAUACUGGUGAACUUGAGUACUGAUGAGGUAGGCGGAAUGGACGGUGUAGCGGUGAAAUGCUUAGAGAUCGUCCAGAACACCGAUAGCGAAGGCAGCUUACUAAGGAGUAACUGACGCUGAGGCACGAAAGUGUGGGGAUCAAACAGG
rnacentral:rRNA from 1 species